rnacentral:lncRNA from 1 species
GACCCUUGAUCCCACUGCCAAUGGAGAAUGGCUUUCAGUAAUUCUGUAACGCCUCAAGAUUCCAGAAGCUGACUUUAAAAGUGUAGUUAAAAAAAAAAUGGGCUUAUUUCACAGUUAAUUUCCAAUGAUGUUUACCAAAAUCUGGCCAUAGAAGAUUGGAUCCACGCCCAUAUAAAUCUAAAAGACAAGCCAGUUUUUUCCUUUUGGAGAAAGUCUGCUGCUGUUAUAAAUGAUAGGCACCACAGUCCUUGGCAGGAGUGUAACCUGAACCUGUUGAGGGAAGGUAUAAAACUGUCCAGAAGAAGUGGAGGAGGAGCAGCCUACUGUGAUAUGGAUAGUAUCAAGUUGACUUUCCUUACAGCUGCAAACAAGUAUGAUACAAUGGAAAAUCUGAAGUUAGUUGUGAGAGCUCUGAAUGCUGUCCAACCCAAAUGGAAUGUGCAGCCUACCAAAAUAUUUGCCCUUUUACUUGAAGAACAGUUUAAAAUGUCAGGAACAGCUUCUAAGAUUAGCUAGAUGACUGUUGAUCACUUUAUUGCACCUUAUUACGUAGCGCUAAUGGGACUAUCUUGUCUUCUUUGGUAAAGAGCCCUUAUCAAGUGAUUAGGAGCAAUAUAACUGCUAAGAUACCUUACUUAGCUAAAACUAUUUUGGAAAAGGAUCUCAUUCUGGCGUGCAAGUACUGCUGAAUGCUAUUGCUGCAGAAUAUUCUGCUUAUCAUCAAAUUGAUAAUCACAUUAAAUUAAUAAACCCAACAGAUGAUAUGGGUAAUAUCAAGUUGACUUUCCUUACAGCUGUGUCCUUAGAGUUGACUUUCCCACAUUAAAUUAAUAAACCCAACACUGCUUCCUGAAAUUAACAGCAAAGUCACAGAAUGACAGGCUUGGGAGUGGAUAUAUGGAAAAACUCCAAAAUUUAGUAUAGACAGUUACUUUGUUAUAUGAACAGUCACGCUUGGAAAAUUAUUCAUAGAUACAAAAAAUGAGAGAAUUAAAAUUUAUAAUAUUAAAGCACCUAAGCUUUGGUUAUCACUGGAAAUGUAUAACAAAGUAAAUUCAAGUCUUAUUGCCAGUAAGUUUUACCCAGUUGAAACGACUGUGCUAACAAAUAUAUUGCUUAGAAUAUGUCCAGAAGACCAUGUACUACAGAGGAAAUUGAAUACUCCCUGUGAAUAAAGAGAGCCAUG